rnacentral:rRNA from 1 species
AAUCAACGCUGGCGGCGUGCCUCAGACAUGCAAGUCGAACGCGAAAGUUUCCUUCGGGAGAUGAGUAGAGUGGCGCACGGGUGAGUAACACGUAGGUAAUUUGCCUUUGGGUGGGGAAUACCAACCGGAAACGGUUGUUAAUACCGCAUAAUGCAGCGGCAUCAUAAGAUGACAGUUGUUAAAGCGGGGGAUUCGUAAGAACCUCGCGCCUAAAGAGGAGCCUGCGGCGGAUUAGGUAGNGGUGAGGUAAUGGCUCACCAAGCCUGCGAUCCGUAACCGACCUGAGAGGGUGGUCGGUCACACUGACACUGACAUACGGGUCAGACUCCUACGGGAGGCAGCAGUCGGGAAUUUUGGGCAAUGGGCGCAAGCCUGACCCAGCAACGCCGCGUGAAGGAUGAAGCAUUUCGGUGUGUAAACUUCGCAAGAACAGGAAGAAUAAGUGAAUACUAAUACCGUUCAUGAUGACGGUACUGUUUGUAAGCUCCGGCUAACUCCGUGGCAGCC